rnacentral:lncRNA from 1 species
CGAUCAUGGCUGCCAUCGGAGCAGAGGUCACCAGCUCAUUCUUCCUGCCGCCGGGAGUCGUCAGCGUCUUCAUCCUCCUCCUCCUCCUCUCCAUCUUCCUCACGUCUCUCUGCAGCGACUGUGGCAGACGUUCGUUUGAGUUGCAAGAAUCAAGUGUAGACAAACAUCCCUCAUCCCUCAUCAAAGUGGUGAAGCUGGAGGACGCCAUGACGGCCCGAGAGAAUCCCAUGAUCCACGAGAUCCAGAGCGACGAAAAAGAGAAUCACCUGAAGGAGGGAACCCGAGUCCAGGCCGCUGCACCGAGCAGCCACAUGGUGGCGCCACCGCUCAACCAAGCGGUACGAGCUGAGGAGGAAGCCUCGGCCCAGUUCACCCCGUGGAGGAGCCACCUGACGGGAGCUCACAGCCGAGAUCACAUCUACCACACCAUUGGAGAGGAGCAGGCUGCGCCAUCACCUGCGGCCAAUCAGGAGCCUCGUUCCGAAGCAGCAGCGGAGGGUCUGGGCGGCAGCAAUGUGAACUCAGUUUACGCACAAGUCAGCAAGAAGGCGACAAAGACCCCGACCGCCGCCACCGUCCAUCCACCUGAACAGGUGCAGGAGGAGGAGGAGUCACCACCGCUGCCUGGCAGGACCGCGGACGUGGAGGCAUGA